UACAGAGGGUGCGAGCGUUGUUCGGAAUUAUUGGGCGUAAAGCGCUUGUAGGCGGCACGUCAAGUCGCGUGUGAAAUCCCCAGGCUUAACCUGGGAAGUGCGCGCGAAACUGACGAGCUUGAGUGCCGGAGAGGGUCGCGGAAUUCCCGGUGUAGAGGUGAAAUUCGUAGAUAUCGGGAGGAACACCAGUGGCGAAGGCGGCGACCUGGACGGACACUGACGCUGAGACACGAAAGCCAGGGGAGCGAACGGG
rnacentral:rRNA from 1 species